CCCUUAGAUGUUCUGGGCCGCACGCGCGCUACACUGACGAAGUCAGCGAGCAUGUCCUACGCCGACAGGUGCGGGGAAUCUUGUCAAACUUCGUCGUGAUGGGGAUUGAUUAUUGAAAUUCUUGAUCAUCAACGAGGAAUUCCUAGUAAGCGCAAGUCAGCAGCUUGCGUUGAUUACGUCCCUGCCCUUUGUACACACCGCCCGUCGCUACUACCGAUUGAAUGGUUUAGUGAGAUCUUCGGAUUGGCGCCACUGCGGCUCAGUAAUGGGCUCGGUGGAUGCCGAAAAGUUGAUCAAACUUGAUCAUUUAGAGGAAGUAAAAGUCGUAACA
rnacentral:rRNA from 1 species